rnacentral:lncRNA from 1 species
AUGGAGCUCCAUAUGGUUAUGGUACUGCAGCUUCCCUCCCUGCCUAUGCCACCCGUCCGCUUAACCCGGAAGCCAGUUGCACCAAUGUGUUGGAGGAAACACCGUUUAACUGACGACCAGAGUCAGCCUGCAGGCACCUGGCCCAUCACCAGGAGUCACUAGAGCGCGAUGAGCAAAGUAUCCCCCCCCCCCCCCCCCCCCCCCGGCCAAACUCUCCCCUAACCCGGACGACGCUGGGCCAAUUGUGGGCCACCCUAUGGGACUCCCGGUCACAGCCAGUUGUGAGACAACCUGGGAUUGAACCUGGGUCUGUAGUGAUGCCUCAAGCACUGCGUUGUAGUGCCUUAGAUCGCUGUGCCACUCGGGAGGCCCCGCAUGCGCUAACUUUUCCAACUCACCUUGCCAUUUUCUGCUUUCCUGAUUCUUAGCGAGGGUGCUCAGAUGCCGAACAGUCAAAUGUGAGUGCCUUCAGAAAGUAUUCACACCCCUUGACUUUUUUCACAUUUUGUUACAUUACAAAGUGGGAUUAAAUGUAUGUAAUUGGCAUUUUUUUUCCAACAAUCUAUACAAAAUACUCUGUCAAAGUGGAGGAAAAAUCUCACUAUAUAUCUCACUGAUCAUCCCCAAAGCCAACACCUCAUUUGGCCACCUUUGCUUCCAGUUCUCUGCUGCCUGUGACUGGAACGAAUUGCAAAAAUUGCUGAAGCUGGAGUCUUAUCUCCAUCACCAACUUUAAACAUCAGCUAUCUGAGCAGUUAACCGAUCGCUGCAGCUGUACAUAGUCCAUUUGGAAAUAGCCCACCCAAUCUACUUACCUCAUCCCCAUACUGUUUUUAUUUACUUUUCUGCUCUUUUGCACACCAGUAUCUCUACUUGCACAUCAUCAUCUGCUCAUUUAUCACUCCAGUGUUAAUCUGCUAAAUUGUUAUUCUUUGCUACUGUGGGCCAUUUAUUGCCUACCUCAUGCAUUUUGCACACACUGUAUAUAGACUUUUUUAUUGUGUUAUUGGCUUGUUUAUUGUUUAUUCCAUGUUAUUUCCAUGUUAUUUCAUGUGUAACUAUGUGUUGUUGUCUGUGUCACACUGCUUUGCUUUAUCUUGGCCAGGUCGCAGUUGUAAAUGAGAACUUGUUCUCAACUAGCCUACCUGGUUAAAUAAAGGUGAAAUAAAAUAAAUAAAUAAAAGGACAAAAAGUACAUUUCUUUGCCCCAUUCUUUGCAGUAUUGUUCUGUACAGGCUUCCUUUUCACUCUGUCAUUUAGGUUAGCAUUGUGGAGUAUUGUUUAUCUAUCCUUAGUUUUAUCCUAUCACACCCAUUUAACUCUGUAAUAACUGUUUUAAAAUCACCAUUGGUAUCAUGGUGAAAUCCCUCAGCAGUUUCCUUCCUUUCUGUCAACUCGGGGAUUCGAUCUAGCAACCUUUCGGUUACUGGCCCAAUGCUCAAACCACUUGGUUACCUGCCGCCCCAAAUGAGGGACUUUACAGAAAAUUGUGCAUGUGGGGUACAGCAAUGGGAUAGUCAUUCAAAAAUCAUAUUUUUCACCAUUAUUGUACACAGUUAGUUCAUGCAACUUUUCUGGUUACUACAGUUGAAGUCAGAAGUUUACAUACACUUAGGGUUCUUGCAUACACUCCAAAUGUCUUGUUAACAAACCUAUAGUUUUGACAAGUCGG